rnacentral:rRNA from 1 species
GUGCCAGCCGCCGCGGUAAUACGGAGGGGGCAAGCGUUACUCGGAAUUAUUGGGCGUAAAGGGCGCGUAGGCGGCCGCGUGCGUCAGAGGUGAAAUCCCCCGGCUUAACCGGGGACCUGCCUCUGAUACGGCGCGGCUUGAGUCCGGGAGAGGGGAGCAGAAUUCCCAGUGUAGCGGUGAAAUGCGUAGAUAUUGGGAGGAAUACCGGUGGCGAAGGCGGCUCCCUGGACCGGUACUGACGCUGAGGCGCGAAAGCGUGGGUAGCAAACAGGAUUAGAUACCCUCGUAGUCC